CACACAUGUUGGCUUUUGAGUCCCUGUCUCCCCUCACAGAACCUUAGGUCUUGAUAGCGCCACACAAUUUUGGGGAUCCUGCUAGACUCAAUCCACAUACAAGCUAGCCUUCCCCAGGACAUAGAUUGAACACCCUAUCAUGCUUUUGAACUAUAUUUGCAACUAGGUCUUGCAACCGCGAGGAACUUCAAUUACUGCUGGGGUCACUCAAUUUUACCAU